rnacentral:tRNA from 1 species
GCUCGGGUGGCGGAAAUGGAAUACGCGCAGGGCUUAGAACUCUGUCCCGCAAGGGUUGUGGGUUCAAAUCCCACCCCGAGCA